UNUGACUUGAGUGCAGAAGGGGAGAGUGGAAUUCCAUGUGUAGCGGUGAAAUGCGUUGAUAUAUGGAGGAACACCAGUGGCGAAAGCGGCUCUCUGGUCUGUCACUGACGCUGAGGCUCGAAAGCGUGGGUAGCGAACAGGAUUAGAUACCCUGGUAGUCCACGCCGUAAACGAUGAGUGCUAGGUGUUAGGCCCUUUCCGGGGCUUAGUGCCGGAGCUAACGCAAUAAGCACUCCGCCUGGGGAGUACGACCGCAAGGUUGAAACUCAAAGGAAUUGACGGGGGCCCGCACAAGCGGUGGAGCAUGUGGUUUAAUUCGAAGCAACGCGAAGAACCUUACCAGGUCUUGACAUCCCGAUGCUAUUCUUAGAGAUAGGAAGUUACUUCGGUACAUCGGAGACAGGUGGUGCAUGGUUGUCGUCAGCUCGUGUCGUGAGAUGUUGGGUUAAGUCCCGCAACGAGCGCAACCCUUAUUGUUAGUUGCCAUCAUUAAGUUGGGCACUCUAGCGAGACUGCCGGUAAUAAACCGGAGGAAGGUGGGGAUGACGUCAAAUCAUCAUGCCCCUUAUGACCUGGGCUACACACGUGCUACAAUGGUCGGUACAACGAGUUGCGAGCCGGUGACGGCAAGCUAAUCUCUGAAAGCCGAUCUCAGUUCGGAUUGGAGGCUGCAACUCGCCUCCAUGAAGUCGGAAUCGCUAGUAAUCGCGGAUCAGCACGCCGCGGUGAAUACGUUCCCGGGCCUUGUACACACCGCCCGUCACACCACGAGAGUUUGUAACACCCGAAGUCGGUGAGGUANCCUUUUAG
rnacentral:rRNA from 1 species